rnacentral:sRNA from 1 species
AUUCAAUAAAAUUAUGCAAAA